CACACACACACAUCUCACACAGGCACAAUGCUGCAAUGAAGACCGACAACAUGCUGCCUUGCUCGACAUUAUUUCUCAUUUAGAGCCACAGCAACAGAAUACACCCAGACCACUGCCACUCACGUAUGCUAUGUUUACAUCAGAUUCAUACAAAGACAUGCCAACUACAAGAGUAAUUGUGGAAGGGAAAGAAUUUACAAUUUUAGUAGACUGCGACAAGAGGCCAUUGACGGUAUUACACCUGUAUUCAAUUUGCUCCUAGAAGCAGGGGUGAUAGUUCCAUGUCCAGACUCACCGGACAGGACACCAAUAUUUCCGACUGUUUAAUUGCAGAGCCUACUCAAAUGCAGUGUCAGACAGACACGAUUAAACUACUCCAGCACUUAGCAAAGGAGCCUUUCUAAAUUACAAUUUGUGUCUCUAAAUGUGCGUUUCCUGGGUCAUGACAUUUUCGGUGAAGGGAAAACCCUCUCCCCAAAAAGAAUUGCCUUGAUCAUAUCAAUACCAAAACCAAACACCAAAAAACAGAGGAUGUCCUUUUUGGUCCUUUUCUUCCAAACUUCUCACAAAUGGAACAACCGUUAUCAAACCUAAUCCACGGGAAAAAUCUUUCAGCGCACAACAAAAUAACAUAACAAACAUAACAAAAGCUGCUGCUCUGCUUCCGCUUCCCACUACCUGUGCUCUCGUGUGCUCUGAGGAGUCAGUUCCCUCCUCUCUUACAGCGAUGCAGUCACUCUCUACCCCUGAUGAAAGACGGCUUUGGUCCAGAUCCGGCUGUGUUUACACCAACGGUAUCUGGACUGGACCCGACGGCAAGCCGUGUUUACCUAAACACUAUUUUGCUCAUUAUGCUCAAGUUGACUCAUGGGUUAGACCAUGUGUCAAAAGGGGGAAUGUUACGCGCACUUAAUGAAACAUGGUUUACAAAAGGGUUCACAGCAUGUGCACAAAACGUUUGUUCUGCAUGUGUCACCUGUUCUACUCACAUUGUAGGCAGGCCCGUGGGCGUGUCCAGCCAGGCUGCACACCCACCACCGACCCGCCCAUUUGAGCACAUUAUGAUGGAUUUUGUGGAGUUGUCUCCAUCUGAAGGUUGCAGCCGCCCUCCCAAAACCAGCUGAAGGCCGACUCCACAAACUGAAACCUGGUGACUUUGUGGUGGUGAAAGACUUCAGGAGAAA